rnacentral:rRNA from 1 species
UCAGGACGAACGCUGGCGGCGUGCCUAAUACAUGCAAGUCGAGCGAAUGGAAGGGAGCUUGCUCCCGGAAGUUAGCGGCGGACGGGUGAGUAACACGUGGGCAACCUGCCUGUAAGACUGGGAUAACUUCGGGAAACCGGAGCUAAUACCGGAUAAUUUCUUUCUUCUCAUGGAGGAAGGUUGAAAGAUGGCUUCGGCUAUCACUUACAGAUGGGCCCGCGGCGCAUUAGCUAGUUGGUGAGAUAACGGCUCACCAAGGCAACGAUGCGUAGCCGACCUGAGAGGGUGAUCGGCCACACUGGGACUGAGACACGGCCCAGACUCCUACGGGAGGCAGCAGUAGGGAAUCUUCCGCAAUGGACGAAAGUCUGACGGAGCAACGCCGCGUGAGUGAUGAAGGUUUUCGGAUCGUAAAACUCUGUUGUCAGGGAAGAACAAGUAUCGGAGUAACUGCCGGUACCUUGACGGUACCUGACCAGAAAGCCACGGCUAACUACGUGCCAGCAGCCGCGGUAAUACGUAGGUGGCAAGCGUUGUCCGGAAUUAUUGGGCGUAAAGCGCGCGCAGGCGGUCCUUUAAGUCUGAUGUGAAAGCCCACGGCUCAACCGUGGAAGGUCAUUGGAAACUGGGGGACUUGAGUGCAGAAGAGAAGAGCGGAAUUCCACGUGUAGCGGUGAAAUGCGUAGAGAUGUGGAGGAACACCAGUGGCGAAGGCGGCUCUUUGGUCUGUAACUGACGCUGAGGCGCGAAAGCGUGGGGAGCAAACAGGAUUAGAUACCCUGGUAGUCCACGCCGUAAACGAUGAGUGCUAAGUGUUAGAGGGUUUCCGCCCUUUAGUGCUGCAGUAACGCAUAAGCACUCCGCCUG